rnacentral:rRNA from 1 species
UACGAAGGGUGCAAACGUUGCUCGGAAUCAUUGGGCGUAAAGCGCACGUAGGCGGCUUCGCAAGUCGGAUGUGAAAUCCCUCGGCUCAACCGAGGACGUGCAUACGAAACUGCGAAGCUUGAGUACUGAAGAGGAUCGCGGAAUUCCCGGUGUAGAGGUGAAAUUCGUAGAGAUCGGGAGGAACAUCAGUGGCGAAGGCGGCCAUCUGGAUCAACACUGACGCUGAGGCACGAAAGCGUGGGGAGCAAACAGG